CGAAGAGCAGCAAACGAAGUCAACUCCGUUGAGACAAACUUUGCCAAUUGCUGAACAAUCGGUUCCAAAGUUGUCUUGGUAGAGUCCGCAUUCUCCUGUAAUGACUUCAGCAGAGAAGAGGCGUCGGAGAAUAGUUUAUCGACUUUUUUGGUCGCAGCCUCACAGGCUUUGGUAGAGGCGUCGAUGGCAGCAGUUGCUGAGGCUACGGAAUCAUGUUGAGCCCUGGAGAAGGCAUCAACAAUCUUCUGAAGUGCAGCUUCAGAAAGAGAGGACUGCUGGUUGGAAGAUGAGGCGAGAAGUAGGUCAACCUUCUCGUUGAGCUCCUUUAGAUGCUUCUUUGUCACUGGAGCAUCAUCCUCUUCAUCACUCUGAACCUGAAACGGACUAUAGUAGACCGAAUCAAAGUUCAUGUGUUCACCGCCAAGGUAAGGGUUUUCUCCAUCAGAGGCAUUUUCUGGAGAUGGAGGGGGUGGUGAAGCUGGGGGUGUGGUUGGUUUGGUCGGUUCAGGUUGAGUGGGUGUAGGAUUCGUUUCUGGUGGUGUUUCGGUUUGAGGUGGUGGUUGAGUUUCGGUUUGAGGUGGUUCAGUUACGGGUGGGGUUUCGGUUACUGAUGGUGUUUUUGUUGCAGUUGUGAAAAUGGGUGGUGGUAUAGGGAAAGAUGUUUGUGGAAUAGUGGUAGUGGGGAUUAUGGUC
rnacentral:lncRNA from 1 species